rnacentral:rRNA from 1 species
GAUGAACGCUGGCGGCGUGCCUAAUACAUGCAAGUCGAGCGAACAGACGAGGAGCUUGCUCCUCUGACGUUAGCGGCGGACGGGUGAGUAACACGUGGAUAACCUACCUAUAAGACUGGGAUAACUUCGGGAAACCGGAGCUAAUACCGGAUAAUAUAUUGAACCGCAUGGUUCAAUAGUGAAAGACGGUUUUGCUGUCACUUAUAGAUGGAUCCGCGCCGCAUUAGCUAGUUGGUAAGGUAACGGCUUACCAAGGCGACGAUGCGUAGCCGACCUGAGAGGGUGAUCGGCCACACUGGAACUGAGACACGGUCCAGACUCCUACGGGAGGCAGCAGUAGGGAAUAUUCCGCAAUGGGCGCAAGCCUGACGGAGCAACGCCGCGUGAGUGAUGAAGGUCUUCGGAUCGUAAAACUCUGUUAUUAGGGAAGAACAAAUGUGUAAGUAACUAUGCACGUCUUGACGGUACCUAAUCAGAAAGCCACGGCUAACUACGUG